CUCCGCCUCCCCCUCCCUCUUUGCAUGGUCUCCCUCUGAUGCCCAGCCGAGGCUGGACUGUACUGCUGCCAUCUCGACUCACUGCAACCUCCCUGCCUGAUUCUCCUGCCUCAGCCUGCCGAGUGCCUGGGAUUGCAGGUGCGCGCCGCCACGCCUGACUGGUUUUCGUAUUUUUUGGUGGAGACGGGGUUUCGCCAUGUUGGCCGGGCUGGUCUCCAGCUCCUGACCAUGAGUGAUCUGCCAGCCUCCGCCUCUCAGGUGCCGGGAUUGUAGACGGAGUCUGGCUCACUCAGUGCUCAAUGUUGCCCAGGCUGGAGUGCAGUGGCGUGAUCUCGGCUCGCUACAACCGCCACCUCCCAGCCGCCUGCCUUGGCCUCCCAAAGUGCCGAGAUUGCAGCCUCUGCCCGGCCGCCACCCCGUCUAGGAAGUGAGGAGUGCCUCUGCCUGGCUGCCCAUCAUCUGGGAUGUGAGGAGCCCCUCUGCCUGGCCGCCCAGUCUGGGAAGUGAGGAGCACCUCUUCCCGGCCGUCAUCCUGUCUAGGAAGUGAGGAGCGUCUCUGCCCGGCCACCCAUUGUCUAGGAUGUGGGGAGCGCCUCUGCCCCACCGUCCCGUCUGAGAUGUGAAGAGUGCCUCUGCCCGGCCGCGACCCCGUCUGGGAACUGAGGAGUGUCUCUGCCCCGCCGCCACCCGUCUGGGAGAGAUGAGGUCUUGCCUGGUCUUGAAUCCUGGACUCAAGUGACCCUUUGCCUCUGUCUCCCAAUGUGAUGGAAUUACAGCCGUGAGCCACUGCACCCAGCCAACUGCUUCAUUCUUAAGGUUCCAGCUACUUCUCACCCUGGCUCAGAUCUAGUAACUGCUCUUUUGUCAAACUAAACCUUUUUCAGCUAAACGCUGUGGUCGGUGGGGUGGAUACCUCACUACAAACCUCACCCAGUGGAAUGUUAUUCUACUGAGGCAACUGUGAAAAAGAGAAACUGAUAUGCUAGUGACGCUCAGUUUAAUAGAUGGGAGAGAAGGAGUGGAAUAGGUAUAUGGCCUUUCUUUUUUUUCCAUUCUCUG
rnacentral:lncRNA from 10 species